UGUAGGUGAUGUUUGUAUCUACGAAUCAAUCGGCGGUUGUAAAGACACUGGAAAAGCUAAAGAAAACGGCAAUGAUGCAACAUUUCACUCAAUUCAGCUCAGUGGUCUUGAAAAAAAGAGAGAAUGAAGAUUCAGAGGACAACUAAAACUAGUAUAAUGUGAAUCCACCUAUAACCACAGGUCCAGAAAGAGAAGUGCAUCAUCAACAAAACAAGUGAUGCACGGAUGAAAACUUGACAAACUUCAUAUUUAUUGCAGUUUUUGCCGUAGUUUCACAGCUCUUUGGAUUUUUUAGUAAUUUGUAGUCUGUCACUGCUUUCUGCAGAUCAUAGGAGGUUAUAUAAAAUAAUUGAAUAGUUGGUCUCAGCUUAAAUUGCAGGACUGUUGAGGAGUUUUGCUUUUGGAUUCAUGAUAUAUAUAUAUUUUCUUCUAUAUUUUGUUGCCACUUGCUUGCAACUUUGUGGCUCAAAGUUGUAACAGUUACGAUAACAAGAUUGAUACUUUAUGAUUUGUAACGCUACAUGCAAUCAAAACGGAGUGAGUGUGAGAUUUAAGAUCUAAUGUUGAUCCAGCUUUUACAUGACAGAUUGCUCACUCGCUGCUGUUUUCGGGGAAAGUUUGUGUUUUGGUCUUGAGGAGUUUUUCCAGUUGAAGUGAUCCAAUCAGAUCCUCUUCUUCCUUGUACAGCCCCAACUUUGUGAUUUUACGCUGAUGAUGCAGCUGUAUGUUUUGCCAAACAUCUUGUCUAGUGCAACUACACUAGACAAUCGUAUCAUGUCAUUAUUUUUUCCGGCAGGAUCGGGAUUCACAAUCUUUUCACUAUUUUUAUUGAUGUUGGUAUUUAGGACUAUUAAGCAAGUGACAGAACAUAACAAACCAAACAAAUUUUGCUACUUAAAGAAAUAUAUAGUCCUACAAGGUAUCAAAACACCAAACCAAAUUCUGUUCUCAAAUUAAAUACUUUAAUGUUUAAGUUGUAAUUGUUAAGUUGUAACGUUUAAUGUUUCUUUAAAUAUCUAUUAGAUACUUUUGAUGAAAUUACUUUUCUAAAUCCGCAUGAACCACUCUUCACAUCGGCAUUAAAUAAAUCCACCGCACAGCACCUAUUUAAAAAAGAAGUAUGUCACUUAAAUAGCUGGUUUGCCUGUUACUCCCGUUAUUU